rnacentral:misc_RNA from 1 species
AAAUUAUUGUAUUAAAUAUUCUGCCCACGUAAAUUUUCGGGUACAAGCUUGAAGAAAUUAUUAUCAUGUACAAGUUCCCAAUAUCUGUUUGCAACAAGUCCAUUUAUAACUCAAAAACUAACACUACUGGAGCGUCUGCAUCAUGUUACAUAUAAUUAGAAAAUACAAACAGCAUAAUAAGUUUCACCCAGUCAUCUUCAGCUUAACAAGAGAACAAAGCUCGCAUUGUCGUCUCAGCAUUACAAACCCAGAGAAUGGUGGCAGUACAGUAACAGUAACAGUACAGGAAGAAUGCUCAUUCUUAACUGGGAAAUGAAACAUUAGUCACCAUUUGAGGGAGGAUGGUCCAUUACAUAAAAAGAUUUCAGAUCCAAUCAAUUUAUCCGCAGACAGCCAAGCCCAAAUGAUCAAAUGGGCAGAUCAUUGUUGUUAUCGUGAAGGAUAAAACUACAGGGCCUGAACAUCUAAAAGCCAAAUUUUUCAGUUACAAUAUCAGUUAAGGUUAUUGUACAUUAAUUGGAUAACAUAACGAAAUCCUGACGAAUUCUCAUUCACCCGUUGUAGGUUUUCUAUGAAUGUAGGCAUACUAAAAAAUGACUACCUAAUCUACAUAGCUCUUGGCAUCAAGCCGUUCCCUUCUGCAAAUCCUGAAUGAAUUGCAUAAGGCUGUUUCUUACACCCUGGAAGAACUUUGACCAUAGUUUCCCUCCACAGGCUUAUCACAAAAUUUAUAUUUUUCUUCAACUAUCGUACAUUAAGCUUCCCUAGAGAAAACCAACAAACCUUGUUUUCUAGGAGGGAGGGAAACUUAAAAAUUGUCUCUAUCUUCAUCUUUCAUUAUUGUGUUUGGACCAUCAUCAAAACCAGAGCCUGGAGCAAGUUCAUUUAGAUCAAGGAAACGCCGCUUUCUUACACCCUCAACUUCAUCUUCGCCCAGGCUAUUGGAUUUCUCUGCUGCUUGAUUUUGCUCUUUCUCAACGGUCUCAGUGUAACCUUCAUCAGGCUGAUCAACUUUCAUAUCUUGUUCUUCAUCCUCAUUGUCAUCAGAAUCUUGACUUCCAGCCGAAUACUCUCCAUUCUCACUAGCAUCUGAGUAUUCGUCUGAUGGAUUUGAUUUUUCAGGUUUCAUUGAUUCUGUUUCUGAAUCUGACAGCACAUACUGACGGUAAUUAAGCCGGUUUCGUGUAGCCCUUUUACUGCGUCUCAAACCUGAUUGAAGCUCAUCGACAGACCUUAAUUUAGUUUCCCUCCGUGUUCGGCCUGGCAGUUUCUUAAAUUUCUGGGGCUCAUCACUAUCCUCACUGAUACUUGAUGAAUCCUCUUCUUCUUCCUCUUCUUCCUCUUUCGCUUUCAUCAUUUCCAACAUUCUUCUUGCCUUUUCCCUGGUUUGUUCUCGUCCUGACUUCUCCAA